ACUUUUUAGUCUUUUUAAUUUCAAUUUUUUUGUUAGCUUCCUAGUCUGAAAAUAGAUUUUAGUCCAGGGGCUUGUUGUGAGUCAGCAACAUGAGGUCCUCGCCCAAGCUAAGUUCAUGUCUGCUGCAAUGUAGGAAUGUGUUACUGUGCCCAUGUAUCCAGUAGAGUAGAUAGGAUUUUUGUAUGUCCAUAAUUCCCCCGCAAGAUGAGGUACCGUUCUUUUUCUUUUUGUAUUAAAUAUCUGAUUAGUAGUUUGAAGCAGAGAAUUGCGUCCAUAGUUUAUAUUUUUUUAUGUUUUUUUUUGCAUGUUGAAUGCACAAUAGUGUCUCUCGCUUAAUGAAUGAUAUGCACACUCGUGCGUAUUCGAGAAAAAAAUAGUGUCCCUCGCUCAGGCACGUCGAUCGGCAAUGUCGGUGUGGCAGAUCAUACUGCCGAAGUUCUUGUUGGUGAUAUACCUCAUAUCUGAAGAGAUUAGGGUAGUUGUUUGUGUGGAUCAAGCAAAGUUUAAUAGCUUCAACUCUAUAGUCAACUCUAGGAUUUUUUAGUUAUUUUCUCGUGUCCUUAUUGUUCAAGCAGCCAAUAGAUUUGGAGGUGUUUUUGUGUGUUUUUUCAUGCAGUUGUAAGGUGCUGGAGAGUGUGGCAGAUCAUACUGUUUUUGUGUGUUUAAGUUCAGUUAGGUUCAGUUAGUCUGGUUCUUUUUCUGCUUCUUCAUAUGUAAAGCCAAGUAAAUUGUACUUCUUUAGUCUGAACCAAGUAAAUUGUACUUCUUUAGUCUGAAGUUCAGUUAGGUUCAGUAAGGUGCUGGAGAUGUACAUGCAUGCAUAUUCAUUUUUGUACACUUUUCUUUUUUUGCAAAAUAAAUUGCAUUGGAUACUAAAUUUGUUAACAAUACAUGAACUAUUAUAGCCAAGUAGCUAUAAUAGUGAUUAGUAUCUUUUUUGUUUUUUUACUGGAAGUAGUACUAGUAGCACCACCAUUUUUCUAUGUAGGUACAUUUAGUUCAGAG
rnacentral:lncRNA from 1 species